rnacentral:pre_miRNA from 1 species
UAUAAUGUUUCAGUCUUCGUUUUAUUUGAAUUUUUUUGUGAUUAAUAUUUUUAUUGUGACUAGACGAUAAAAUAUAAAUAGUAUUUUACACGUGACUAAUUUUAUUAAUUUUUUCUAUAAAUUUUUUAAAUAAGAUGAAUGAUCAAACAUUGGACA